CCUACGGGAGGCAGCAGUGAGGAAUAUUGGUCAAUGGACGCGAGUCUGAACCAGCCAAGCCGCGUGAAGGAUGACUGCCCUAUGGGUUGUAAACUUCUUUUGUAAAGGGAUAAAGUGAGGCACGUGUGCCUUUUUGUAUGUACUUUACGAAUAAGGAUCGGCUAACUCCGUGCCAGCAGCCGCGGUAAUACGGAGGAUCCGAGCGUUAUCCGGAUUUAUUGGGUUUAAAGGGAGCGUAGGUGGUUGUUUAAGUGAGAGGUGAAAGUUAGGGGCUCAACUGGGAAAUUGCCACUAAUACUGUAGGACUAGAGAGUAGUUGCGGUAGGCAGAAUGUAUGGUGUAGCGGGGCAAAGCUUAGAGCUAAUACAGAAAACCGAGUGAGAAGGCAGCUCAGCAAACUAUAUCCGACGUUGAGGCACGAAAGCGUGGGGAGCAAACAGGAGUAGAUACCCGAGUAGUC
rnacentral:rRNA from 1 species